rnacentral:lncRNA from 10 species
UGGCUGACUCUCUUUUCGGACUCAGCCCGCCUGCACCCAGGUGAAAUAAACAGCCUUGUUGCUCACACAAAGCCUGUUUGGUGGUCUCUUCACACAAACGCGCAUGAAAUUUGGUGCCAUGACUCGGAUCGGGGUACCUCCCUUGGGAGAUCAAUCCCCAGUCCUCCUGCUCUUUGCUCCGUGAGAAAGAUCUACCUAGGACCUCAGGUCCUCAGACUGACCAGCCCAAGGAACAUCUCACCAAUUUCAAAUCUGGUAAGUGGCCUCUUUUUACUCUCUUCUCCAACCUCCCUCACUAUCCCUCAACCUCUUUCUCCUUUCUAUCUUGGCGCCACACUUCAAUCUCUCCCUUCUCUUAAUUUCAAUUCCUUUCAUUUUCUGGUAGAGACAAAGGAGACACAUUUUAUCCGUGGACCCAAAACUCCGGCGCCAGUCACGGACUCGGGGAGGCAGCCUUCCCUUGGUGUUUAAUAAUUGCGGGGGUGCCUCUCUGAUUAUUCACCCAGGACCCCACUGAAAAUCGGACUGUUCAACUCAUCUGGCAGCCACUCCCAGAGCCCCUGGAACUCUGGCCCAAGCCUCUCUGACUGACUCCUUCCCAGAUCUUCUCGGCUUAGCAGCUGAAGACUGACACUGCCCAAUCGCCUUGGAAGCCCCCUAGACCAUCACGGAUGCCGAGCUUCGAGUAACUCUCACAGUGGAGGGAACGCGCAUGAAAAAACCAAACAAACAAAAAAAUUUCUUUUGGUAGCAGAAUAAAAAAACAAAAAAAAGGACUUUUUCUUCUGGACUGAACUAUAUUUAAAUCUCAAAGGAUGGACAUCUCACAACCUUCCUACAGCAAGUACUGUGAGGUAAUAAUUGAUAUAUUAAUUAUUAAAAUUAUUGAAGCUGGAACUCAGAUUUCCAUUUUAUAUUUACAUAUAUAAUUAUUCUAUUAAUGGAUUCUAGCUUAAAUAAAGAGAAGCAACAUGAGUCAUUGGGGCAAGGGGUGAGAUCGAUGACCUCUGGAGAUUGAUCCCAGUGUUCUGACAGAGUUAGCUUCUGUUAUCAGGUGCUAUAGUUUUUCAUAGUGAUGCUGAUAGAGCCUACUCAAGGAUUGGACUCAUUCUUUUGUUCCAUGAAUGCCAAUUCUGCAGAAGCCACUGUGGUAGAAAUUCAAAUGUAAUGAAAAACAAACAUUCACUCAUUUAUUAUCACUAUUUGCCUGCCACAAAGACAGAUUUUGAGGAAGAUAAACAAAUAAAAACGUGUUUGCCAUUUGAAGGGAAGAGCUGCAUCUUGUCCCACUGGAUGGUCUUCAGAGACAAUAAUACAUAAUGGAGCUGUCAUCUCCUAUGAUAACAAUGCCUUCUUCUGGAUACCUCCUGAAGGACCUGCCUGAGGCUCUUUCACGAACUCAAAGGGGGAGAGAAAAAGACGAAAAAUAUCUUCAAAGAGGAGAACAAAUCUGAUCUUUCUCUACGUCUGCUUAGUUGGCGUAACUUUAGGAUGUCCAUAAGUUGUAGCUUUCCUGGGAAAAUUUGAUUUUACACUGGUUAUCCCAACAUAAUAUUAAUGGUAUCCUCUUAGACUCUCAAUAGUGUCCGGUUUGGAUGACAAAUUCUGUGGUCUUUUUAGCCAACUGCUACUGAAGUGGUCAGAUUUAUUGCACAAAAUAUAUUUUUAAAAAUAAGUAGCACAAGAUGAAAUAUGGCCUCAAAUUUCUUGGUUAGUUUCCACUAGAAAGUUUUAAACAUUAAAAAGUACAAAAUUCAUUACAUUUAUUGAAUGAUAAAGUAUAACAUUGUAUGAAGUUGAUGACUAUUAAAACUAUUUGAGUGUUUAGCCAUGUAAAGGUGUGCUGCUUUCCCUUUGCCUUCCGCCAUUAUUGAAAGUUUCCUGAGGCCUCCCCAGCCAUGCUACCUGUACGACCUGUGAAACCAUAAGCCAAUUAGAAAAGAUACUAGCGCCAGUCUGGCAGGGGCCUUUUCUAGUCUCAAGCACGCUGAGCAGUCCUACACCUUGCCUUCUGAGAGAGAAGAGGACAGUCCUCAGCCUCCUGAAGCCUGGCAAGGGUGCCUUAGUGAGGACAUCACCUGCAACUCCCAGAUGGAUAGACGAGGCCAUGGAGAGAGGAGAACACCAACCCAUGAGUGACAAGUGCCUGUCAUUGUCAAUGAUGCUGCAAGCACCACGAUGCCCCUUCUUAGCAGGGACCCAGUGGGCCUUACCAGCUUCAUUAUUUUCUAGGCAUGAUCGCAUCCUGUCUCCCAUUUUUGCUAAAAUUCUAUCUAGAGAAAGAGCUCAUUUUUAGCUAAAAAAAAAAAAAUCCUGUUUUAUCUGCUAAAAAAUCACAUAAAAUAACUAUUGGACUG